GCUGGGUGUGGUGGUGCGCACCUGUAAUCUCAGCUACUGGGGAGGCUGAGGCAGGAGAAUGGCUUGAACUCAGGAGGUGGAGGUUGCAGUGAGCCGAGAUCAUGCCACUGCACCCCUGCCUGGGUGACAGAGCAAGACUCUGUCUCAA
rnacentral:sRNA from 1 species